UUGCGUGGCUUUCUCCUUCUCCCUCAGCUCUUCUACUAAGGCAAAGUGCAGUUUGACUUCAACUCUUCUCCUUUCUCAGUCGUCGUCGCGUCUCCUUCACCGUCGCCAACCGUUCAGGCCUCCGUGGUAGUUAUUUCGUAUGCGACGUGCAAGAUUCUCCGCUGGAGAUGCACUAAGAAAUGCGUAUUGGUGGCCUAUUUUCCUCCCUCCGAGCCUCUCAAGUUCAUCAUUGUUCAUUGUAUCUUCGGCGCUAGCAACAUCAUCAAAUUGCUUCUAUAUGCUCAAACAAUGUAUUGAGCUUCUCACUUUUCAGUCUCCAUCGAAGGUUCGUCAGCGAUCAGUAACUUAACAUGAUUCCAAGAAAAUGGGGUGAUUGGUGGUUACAAAAGAGUCGUGGUGGGUCAUUACAAUGAUCACAUUAAUUACCAAUAUACCAAUAGACAACCUGUUAGAUUUGAUAUAUACUAUUAGGAUGUUUUGUUUGUGGUCAUGUUUUGUUUAUAUGAUAAAAUUGUAUUAACUUCAUUUUGUGCAUAUGUUCAUUUGUGUACCAAGUUUUAGUUUGUUGAAUAUUUAUAUGUUAGUUGUAUAAAAUAAGUUGGAAAUUAUUAAUUAUAUCUAGUUGUGAUAAUGCAAAUUUCAAGUUAAAAGUUUUUUUU